GACGAACGCUGUCGGCAGGCCUAACACAUGCAAGUCGAGCGAGCGGCUGACGGGUGAGUAAUGUAUGGGGACUGCCCGAUAGAGGGGGAUAACUCCGGGAAAAGGUGGCUAAUACCCCAUACUGUAUGAUAACACAUAUGGGAUUAGCUAGUAGGUAAGGUAAUGGCUUACCUAGGCGACGAUCCCUAGCUGUUCUGUGAGGAUGAUCAGCCACACUGGGACUGCGACACGGCCCAGACUCCUACGGAGGCAGCAGUGGGGAAUAUUGCACAAUGGGCGCAAGCCUGAUGCAGCCAUGCCGCGUGUAUGAAGAAGGCCCUAGGGUUGUAAAGUACUUUCAGUCGGGAGGCGUUACCGACAGAAGAAGCACCGGCUAACUCCGUGCCAGCCGCCGCGGUAAUUC
rnacentral:rRNA from 1 species